rnacentral:miRNA from 1 species
CUGAGUGGGGCAGGGCAGGUCCCUGCAGGGACUGUGACACUGAAGGACCCACACCUCCACCCACAG